rnacentral:rRNA from 1 species
AUACGAAGGGUGCGAGCGUUAAUCGGAAUUACUGGGCGUAAAGCGCGCGUAGGCGGUUGGAUAAGUCGGAUGUGAAAGCCCCGGGCUCAACCUGGGAAUUGCAUUCGAAACUGUCCGGCUAGAGUAUGGUAGAGGGAAGCGGAAUUCCACAUGUAGCGGUGAAAUGCGUAUAUAUGUGGAGGAACACCAGUGGCGAAGGCGGCUUCCUGGACCAAUACUGACGCUGAGGUGCGAAAGCGUGGGGAGCAAACAGGAUUAGAAACCCUAGUAGUCC